AUGCUGAGGCGGGCCAUGGCGCUGGCGCUGACCCUCGCCGCGGCUGCCAUGUGGGCCCCGCCGCGCACCGGCCACGCGUGCUCCUCCGCCGCCGGCCGCGUGCCGCACGUGACGAGCGCCCACUCGAAGGGACGCCUCGUGGGGGCGGUGGGGCCCGGCUGCCACUCCGCCAGUUCCACUUCCGCUUCCAAGUCCACCACGCGCAGUUCCAGGCGGGACCGCACCGACGCCACCGGAGCCCCAAUGGCCGCCGCCGAUGCCGCCGGAGACCUCAGGUCGGAGUUCCUCGAGGUGCUGCUCAGCCGCCGUCGCGACCGCCAAGUGCCUAUGACCGUGGAGCAAGGGAGCCCGGUGAAGGAGCCGCUGUACCAAGGCAACGGGCCUCUGGGGCUCAGAGAGGCCAUGGAGUCGUGCCCGAGGAAGGAGGUGGAGGACUUCCAGGAGAAGCUGAUUGAAGAAAAUUUCUACCUGAUGACCGAGUCAGGUGAACAGGGACGCCUACCUGUGCUUCUACUGAAACUUAAUGACACUGCUCCUGAAAGAAAGCCCGUUGUUGUAAUACUGCACAGCUCUUACAAAUGCAAGGAAUGGUUGCGUCCACUGCUUGAGGCAUAUGCCUCCAGGGGUUAUAUUGCUGUCGCCAUCGAUUCUCGUUAUCACGGUGAAAGGGCCAGCAGCAAGACUACUUACAUAGAGGCACUGAAUUCAGCUUGGAGGAAUGGGGACACUAUGCCUUUUAUUUUUGACACGGUGUGGGACUUGAUAAAGCUUGGAGAUUAUCUUAGUGCAAGGGAGGAUGUCGAUCCCUCUAGGAUAGGGAUUACUGGUGAAUCGCUUGGAGGAAUGCAUGCAUGGUUUGCUGCCUUUGUGGAUACACGGUACAGUGUUGUUGUUCCAAUAAUUGGUGUUCAGGGAUUUCAAUGGGCAAUAGAUAAUGACAAGUGGCAAGCUAGAGUUGAUAGCAUUAAGCCUUUAUUUGAAGAAGCAAGAAUUGAUUCAGGGAAGAGUGAAAUAGAUGCAGAGGUUGUGAAAAAGGUUUGGGACAAGAUAGCACCUGGUAUGGCUUCACAGUUUGAUGCUCCCUACUCAGUUCCUCUGAUUGCACCACGCCCGCUCCUCCUCCUAAAUGGUGCUGACGACCCUCGUUGCCCAGUCCUUGGUCUACAAGAACCUGCCUCCAAAGCUGCUGAGGCUUACGAAAAAGCUGGUUCUGCGGAUAAGUUCAAGUUCAUCGCGGAGCCGGGUGUUGGGCACAGGAUGACCGCGAGCAUGGUGAAGGAAGCGAGCGACUGGUUCGACCGCUUCCUGUAG
rnacentral:rRNA from 1 species